rnacentral:lncRNA from 1 species
CUUUAGGUGUGUUUGUAUAGGACAUAGAGUUGAGGUUUGCUAUGGAUUUCUUUUUCUUUUCUUUUUGUUUUGUUUUUUGUUUUUUGAGACAAGGCUUGCUCUGUUAUCCAGGCUGGAGUACAGUGGCAUGAUCAUAGCUUACUGCAGUCUCGACCUCCCGGGCACAAACAACCUUUUCACCUCAGCCUCCCAAGUAGCUGGGACCACAGAUGCAUGCCACCACAUGCCUGGCUAAUUUUUACAUUUCUUGUAGCAAAAGGGUCUCACCAUGUUGCUCAGGUUGGUCUGGAACUCUUAGGCUCAAGUGAUCCUCCUGCCUUGGCCUUCCAAGGUACUGGGAUUACAUGUGUGAGCCACCAGGCCCGGACUUGAACAGCUUCUUUUAAAAGCUGCCAUGCUGUGAAAACACUCAAGCAGUCUCACAGAGUGUUCAAAUGGCAAGGUACUGAGGUGCCCUGGCAACGGCAAGGAACUGAGGCCUUCAUCCAAAGCCAUUAAGUGAGCCAUACUGGAAGCAGGUGCUCCGGUCCCUGGUGGUCUUGAGAUGACAGCAGCUUCAGUGUCUUGACUGCAACCUCAAGAAAGACCUUGAGCCAAAGCCAUCCAGAACAACAGAUGACACGAGAUGUCCCUGCUGGGGAGAAAAACUUGAUGAUCCCAUUGGCAAACCAGCUCCUGAGAUUUGUAUCAAGGCCUCUGCAUCUCACAGCUACCUUGUGUCUCCUCUAUUGAAAAGCUGCUGGGACUUUCAGAGACAUUCUACUAAUGGCAAGUUCUGAGAAGGAAAACAAAAAGAUGCCUUAGUUCCAUGGAAGGCUGCUCUGAGGGAUAUUCUGCUAAGUGGCAUCCAGACAGAACACGGAGAAGCUCCUCGAUUGCGUCUCUCCCCUGCCUUAUUGUUUCCUGCUGCCCUUGACACUCCACUGUUUGGGCUAUUGCAAGGUUAGAAGGAUGCUCACGACCAACGAGACAGAGUCCUUUGCAUAUGGCCUUGAGGAUGUGUGCUUCUGAAAUCUAACAAGUAAGUAAUAAACAGGCAGUUCUCAGAGCAAGAGGCUAAGACUGCUGCUUCACUCGGAGGAAACAAAGCUUUUCAGGGGUGGGUUACAGGUUUCCACGUCGUGAGGCAAGCAUCACCUUUUAUCAAGAAAAUAUCCUGGUUAUUUCCUUCUAUGUUCAAUAGAGUAUAUUGAUUUAAGGUUUUAUAGGACUGCAUAAUUAUGUUUUAUCACAA